UCAUUGUAUGGAAAAGAGACACCAGUACAUUCUUCAGCAUUAUUCGUGUCCCAUGAAAGAAAUGCCACGCAGUUUCGGAAUGACGUGAGGGUGAGUAAAUCAUGACAGAAUUUUUAUUUCUGGGUGAACUAUUUCUUUAACAUUCUGUCAGCUUUAUAUGAUGAAGGAAAGCGAGACAGGAGAGACAAGACGACGGGAAAAGGGAAACAAGUACAGAGAAAGGUUUACCGGUGCUGCGCAAGACCAACUCAUUCUCCUUGUCAGAUAGAGGGCAGCGUUGCUAAAACCAAACGUCUAUUCCCACGGCCUCCCUGUCGCUCCUGUUCCAUCUCUCCCAUCUGCUGAGGAUCUAAUGCAUGAUUAGACCCGACAGGAGAGAAACAAAAGGAGAGGGGAAGCUAACAGAAGGAGGCACAACAAUUAGCACACAAGCAAGGUCUUGUUUGUGAGGGUCAGGGAGAGGUGGUGAGGUUAUAGUGAGGUCGGCACAUUCAAUGCAGCACCAACUGCCCCUCCCUCCCUCUUCUGUGUCACAUCCAUCUCUCCUCUCGUCUCUCUCCUCCCCCUGUUCCUUCAGACAGCUCUGAAGAGCCACAGAUGCCGGUCCCCUCUGUUUUCAGCAAUUCGUCUUCAGGAGGGGCGACACACAGAGGCUUGUCGGACGGAGAGGAUGAAAUACGGCUCCCUCUACCUUCCCUCACAAUACGGCCAAACAAUAAACACUGCUUGUGUACACAUAUCAUGGCAGGCUAAUGUGGCCAUAAAUACCGAUACAGACACUCCCUCUCGUAAUGUCUCUCUUUCCUAAAUGCAGACACACAAACAUCACAGAAAUCACAGUAUGUAGUUGUUAUAUUGGCUGUUAUGUGCCAUUCAUGUGCCAAUUUUGAUUUAUUUUGCCUAUAAAUGUCACGGGGCGUACAUUGAAAACAUAAUUCUGUGACUGAACUUGUUUGAAUUGUGGGUUUGACACAGGGUUAGUUUUCACAGAAAUGAAAAUAUCAUUGUUUACACUGACUUACUCCAAACCUGUAUGACGUUUUAUCUUCCAUGGGUAAAGAAAUGUUAAAGAAUUUUAGCACUGAUCUUUUAACAAACAAUGAAAGUGAAUGAAUGUGGUGUGGAUGUUGUGUUUCUUAGACCAGUAGUUCUCAAACUGGGGGCCGUGGCCCCUGGAGAGGCCCCGAGAUGGAUCCAGGGGGGGCACAGAUUUUGUGGCAUUUUAUGAAAUAUAGAAAUUGAUCAUAGAUUUUAUGCAAUCAAACAUCAGAAAAAUAAGACCACCAGACAAAAGAAUUGAUGUUUCAGCAUUGUAUAACCGAAUAUGUUUUUGUUUAAAUAAAAAUGUUAAAUUUAAGAUUAUAAGUCUUUAUUUGGGGGGCCGCAAAGCGAUGCACUCUACACAAAGG